rnacentral:rRNA from 1 species
GUCUCAGUUCGGAUUGGAGUCUGCAACCCGACCCCCACUGAAGCUGGAUUCGCUAGUAAUCGCGCAUCAGCCACGGCGCGGUGAAUACGUUCCCGGGCCUUGUACACACCGCCCGUCAAGCCAUGGAAGCCGGGAGUGCCUGAAGUGCGUGAGCGCAAGCAGCGCCCUAAGGUAAAACCGGUGACUGGGGCUAAGUCGUAACAAGGUAAC